GCUGCUGUGGCUCAGUCGGUAGAGCAGCUGAUUCGUAAUCAGCAGGUCGCCGGUUCAAAUCCGGCCAGCAGCUCCA
rnacentral:tRNA from 1 species